UACGUAGGGGGCAAGCGUUGUCCGGAUUUAUUGGGCGUAAAGAGCGUGUAGGCGGCCAGGUAGGUCAGCUGUGAAAACUCGAGGCUCAACCUCGAGACGUCGGUUGAAACCACCUGGCUAGAGUCCGGAAGAGGAGAGUGGAAUUCCUGGUGUAGCGGUGAAAUGCGCAGAUAUCAGGAAGAACACCCGUGGCGAAGGCGGCUCUCCGGGACGGUACUGACGCUGAGACGCGAAAGCGUGGGGAGCGAACAGG
rnacentral:rRNA from 1 species